rnacentral:rRNA from 1 species
UACGGAGGUGGCAAGCGUUACUCGGUUUGACUGGGUGUAAAGGGUCCGUAGGUGGCCUUGCAAGUGAAAGGUGAAAUCCUUCUGCUCAACGGUAGAAUUGCCUUUCAAACUGCUUGGCUUGAGGGUGAAAGAGGAGAGCGGAACUGCCGGUGUAAAGGUGAAAUUUGUGGAUAUCGGCAGGAACGCCUGUGGAACAAUCGGCUCUCUGGUUCAUUCCUGACACUGAGGGACGAAAGCUAGGGGAGCAAACAGGAUUAGAUACCCUGGUAGUCCUAGCCGUAAACUAUGGGCACUAGGUACUUGUCUUCGGAUGGGUGCCGAAGUUAACACGUUAAGUGCCCCACCUGGGGACUACGGCCGCAAGGCUAAA